rnacentral:lncRNA from 1 species
GCACAUGCGCAGAAUCAUCGUGGUGCACGGCUCUCCCUUUGCUUCUUCGGUUGCAGUCCUCUUGCUUCUUGCGCGUGCGUGUAGCGCUUUUGCAAAGCCGCGGAGGUGAAGUGAACUUAGAGGCUGUGGGGCCGAGGGGUCCUCUUAUAGCUACCAGCCCACAGGCAUUUAGUCUACGUUGGAGGUAAACAAAUACGGGUCCAGCUUAGGAGAAAAGAAAAACGUCUUACAGCCAGUGUCUAAACUCCAAACAACGGAAUGUAUCAAUGAGACCUUGUAUAUGGAUACACGUGCAUUUAAAACCGCCCUGCCGGCUUGUAGAGCUCUUGCCGUUCUCCAGCGCUUUACAGGGGUUAUCGCACUUCAGCCUCGGAACAACUUUACCAGGAGGGGGGUUUAAUCUGGACUGAAUUGGAGGAAAGGAACUGGCACCAGAGUGGAGGCUGGAAGGAUGGUGGAACUGACACUGGGACAGAACACAGAAAACAGAAUCUAAUGCUAUUGCUCUGGCUAUAUCAAAUAAAAGUGUCAAGAGUGAGCAUCCUUGCCUUGUGCUGAAUCACAAAGGAAUACCUUUCAGUUUUUCUCCAUUGAUUAUGAUAGCAGUGGGCUUUUCACAGUGGGCUUUAUUGUGUUGAGGAGGAGGUCUGAUGGCCGGGAGGACAGGAAGAAGGAACCCACAAUAAAGCAAAAGUCGCGUUUAACUCUGUCCUCACCAUUCCUCUCCUGGGCCUGUCCUAAACUGGAAGCUGGGGGAGGAUGGAGUGCUGGAAUGCUGCAGAAGUCUCAUGGGAGGGCGCCUGGUGUUCACCACAUGUGUACCCUGUUGCACGACCAG